CAAGAGAGAGAGAGAGACAAACAGAAGUUUAUAUACAUCAAGAUACCCAAGGAAAUAGUUGUCUCAAGGAGGCGGCUUAGCAUCAGGGCCAAGAUACCUUCUACCGUUUCCAGAGCUUCUCCAGUGUCUGCUGUUUCUAAAAAAAAAAUCAGCUCACAAUGCCAAAGAGGCCUAUUUGGGAGCAGUGUAUUCUGGUCUCCAACACUCACACAAGCACCCACAGGUACAGCCCUCCACCUGUGCCCCUGGGGUGGAAUCCAAGCAGGGCCUCACCCUUCCUUCUGCAGGGCACUCCUGUUCAGUCCCAGGACGCCUAGUUCGCAUCCCUGGAUUUCUCAGCCCUUGGCUCUGCCAUCCAUCAAAGCUCCAUGGUGGUCUCCUUUCCCUCUGCCUUCAAUGGAAAACCAGGUCUUCAUAGAGUGCUUUACUGAGAUAUGCUUCUGAGGUACAAGGGGACCUUCUCUAAGUUAAAGACUCUUCCCUCUGAGGGUUGCAGGGAGAGGGUGUGGAGCAAGGCAGAGGACCUGAGAAUAAUCUAUUUGAAGCCAUCUGGAAAACUUUCAGCUGCUGG
rnacentral:lncRNA from 1 species